rnacentral:lncRNA from 1 species
AGAGAGGGGUGAGAGGGUCUAGUAGCCCGCCCAGUGUCGCGGCCCAGGAGCUCGGCCCACGUGGGCUCCGUGACGUCUGUGGCGGCCAUUGGAAGAAGAAGAAGGGAGUUUGUGACUGUGUGUGCGUGGUGGGAUGAGGAAUUGAGAGAGAUAUAUGAGAAUGAGAUAAUAUGAAUAAUGACUGGCUGGUUUAUGAAAGGGUUGUCAUGGAUAUGGAUGUGGUUGACCCACCAUUCAUGGAGUAUAUUGUCUGUAUAGCUACAUGGCUGUUCUCGAUUUCACAUGUGCCCUUUCUCUAUCCAUCCUCUUCGAUUAUAAGAUAAGAAUUUAUUUAGAUUCUAAUUAAAGUGUUAGUUUAAUCAUAAUGUCUUAAAUUUAAAAUUUGUAUAUAGAAAAAAAAAAUCGCGAUUAAAAGGAAUGAUUUUACCAUCGGUUAUUUAAUAGAUAUUACUCGAUGAAUAAAGUUUAGAUUAUUUUGGUUUAA